rnacentral:rRNA from 1 species
AGGUAAGCUACUAAGAGCGAAUGGUGGAUGCCUUGACUGGUAAAGGCGAUGAAGGACGUACUAGACUGCGAUAAGCUACGGGGAGCUGUCAAGAAGCUUUGAUCCGUAGAUUUCCGAAUGGGGCAACCCAAUGUAUAGAGAUAUACAUUACCUAUAUAGGAGCGAACGAGGGGAAUUGAAACAUCUUAGUACCCUCAGGAAAAGAAAUCAAUAGAGAUUGCGUCAGUAGCGGCGAGCGAAAGCGCAAGAGGGCAAACCCAGUGCUUGCACUGGGGGUUGUAGGACUGCAAUGUGCAAGAGGUAAGUUUAGCAGAACAUUCUGGAAAGUAUAACCAUAGAGGGUGAUAGUCCCGUAUGCGAAAAACAAACCUUAGCUAGCAGUAUCCUGAGUAGGGCGGGACACGAGGAAUCCUGUCUGAAUCCGGGUCGACCACGAUCCAACCCUAAAUACUAAUACCAGAUCGAUAGUGCACAAGUACCGUGAGGGAAAGGUGAAAAGAACUGAGGUGAUCAGAGUGAAAUAGAACCUGAAACCAUUUGCUUACAAUCAUUCAGAGCCCUAUGUAGGAAUACAGGGUGAUGGACUGCCUUUUGCAUAAUGAGCCUGCGAGUUGUGGUGUCUGGCAAGGUUAAGCAAACGCGAAGCCGUAGCGAAAGCGAGUCUGAAUAGGGCGCUUAGUCAGAUGCUGCAGACCCGAAACGAAGUGAUCUAUCCAUGAGCAAGUUGAAGCUAGUGUAAGAACUAGUGGAGGACUGAACCCAUAGGCGUUGAAAAGCCCCGGGAUGACUUGUGGAUAGGGGUGAAAGGCCAAUCAAACUUCGUGAUAGCUGGUUCUCUCCGAAAUAUAUUUAGGUAUAGCGUUGUGUCGUAAUAUAAGGGGGUAGAGCACUGAAUGGGCUAGGGCAUACACCAAUGUACCAAACCCUAUCAAACUCCGAAUACCUUAUAUGUAAUCACAGCAGUCAGGCGGCGAGUGAUAAAAUCCGUCGUCAAGAGGGAAACAACCCAGACUACCAGCUAAGGUCCCUAAAUCUUACUUAAGUGGAAAACGAUGUGAAGUUACUUAAACAACCAGGAGGUUGGCUUAGAAGCAGCCAUCCUUUAAAGAAAGCGUAAUAGCUCACUGGUCUAGUGAUUUUGCGCGGAAAAUAUAACGGGGCUAAAGUAAGUACCGAAGCUGUAGACUUAGUUUACUAAGUGGUAGGAGAGCGUUCUAUUUGCGUCGAAGGUAUACCGGUAAGGAGUGCUGGAGCGAAUAGAAGUGAGCAUGCAGGCAUGAGUAGCGAUAAUUAAUGUGAGAAUCAUUAACGCCGUAAACCCAAGGUUUCCUACGCGAUGCUCGUCAUCGUAGGGUUAGUCGGGUCCUAAGUCGAGUCCGAAAGGGGUAGACGAUGGCAAAUUGGUUAAUAUUCCAAUACCAACAUUAGUGUGCGAUGGAAGGACGCUUAGGGCUAAGGGGGCUAGCGGAUGGAAGUGCUAGUCUAAGGUCGUAGGAGGUUGUACAGGCAAAUCCGUAUAACAAUACUCCGAGAACUGAAAGGCUUUUUGAAGUCUUCGGAUGGAUAGAAGAACCCCUGAUGCCGUCGAGCCAAGAAAAGUUUCUAAGUUUAGCUAAUGUUGCCCGUACCGUAAACCGACACAGGUGGGUGGGAUGAGUAUUCUAAGGCGCGUGGAAGAACUCUCUUUAAGGAACUCUGCAAAAUAGCACCGUAUCUUCGGUAUAAGGUGUGGUUAGCUUCGUACUAGGAUUUACUCCGAAAGCGAAGAAACUUACAACAAAGAGUCCCUCCCGACUGUUUACCAAAAACACAGCACUCUGCUAACUCGUAAGAGGAUGUAUAGGGUGUGACGCCUGCCCGGUGCUC